rnacentral:rRNA from 1 species
GACGAACGCUGGCGGCGUGCCUAAUACAUGCAAGUAGGACGCAGUUGCGAACGGGUGAGUAACGCGUAGGUAACUGCCUAUUAGAGGGGGAUAACUAUUGGAAACGAUAGCUAAUACCGCAUACUAGUAGAUGGACCUUCGUUGUAUUAGCUAGUAGGUAGGGUAAUGGCCUCCCUAGGCGACGAUACAUAGCCGACCUGAGAGGGUGAUCGGCCACACUGGGACUGAGACACGGCCCAGACUCCUACGGGAGGCAGCAGGAGGGAAGCGUCGGCAAUGGGGGGAACGCUGACCGAGCAAAGGCGCGGGAGGGAAGAAGGUUUUCGGAUCGUAAAGCUCUGUUGUUAAGGAAGCGGUACUUAACCAGAAAGGAACGGCUAACUACGUGCCAGCAGCCGCGGUAAUAC